rnacentral:lncRNA from 1 species
AAUCUGAGUGUGCGGCUCGUGCGGUUAGGGUUGGGUCCCUCUCAGUCCUGUUCCCAGAGAGCUCAACCCGUGGGAAGUUGGCACUCUCAAGAGCUGCCGGCCUGCUCUCCUCUCCACGCGUCUGGUCAACACCCCAGCCCACUGACCCUGUCCCAAGUACCCCAGGAAAGUAUUUCCAUUUUCUUUUUACACACAGGACCCCUGAAGUCCUGCUCUGUGCCCACCUCCGUGUCAAGGACAGCCUGUCUGCUCCUCGUCCAGUCCCACGUAAGGCUUUAGUGGGCUUUCCUCCUCUCGCCCUCAAAAUGCACUGUCUGCUUGCACUUGGACCCGGAGUCAGGAACAUAAAAGUGAGAACAGUGGGAGGGGGAAACUGGUGAGGGUCCAGUACUUGAUUGGGGUUAGAGGUGGGGCGGGGAGCAGGGUGGGGUGUGGUGGGGAGAGAAGGCGUGUUCAUCGCCCCUGGGGACCAGGCCUUCGGAAUCUCAGCUUUCUGGGGGAGCCUUGUGGGACCUCUGGAGCCAAGAUUUAGUCUUGUCCUGUCCGAAGGCGCGGGCAAGGUCCCGGGAUAGGCAAGCGGGGAUGAGAGGGCACGUCGAUAAAGAAAGACACCUCGAGGGCAAAGAGGAAAAAGCACAGGGCAUGAGACUUUUGAAAAAGCAAAAGCGGGCAUCCUGGACCGGAGAAGCCGGACUCCAGCCUGUCCCGGCCUCGCCAUCUGGGUCUUUGUCUCCCAGCCCUGGCCCAUUCUUCCCGCCCCGCCUUGCCUCUUUGCUUAUAACUUGGCUCGAUCCCAUAGCUCAGACCUUCCAGGUCCGACCCACUCUCGCUGGUCGGACCCCAGAGGACGUACCCACGUGCUAAUGUCUCCCCCUGCUGGACUUCCAUAGCACUGCGGGCGCCUGGGAUAAACCCGGAGCUUGCCAUAGCACAAGACCUGGGACAGGCGUAGCCUUGGCAAAAACCGUCACCCUGUAUGGGGAGGAAGGGAAAGAACUAGAAGGAUAUCUGAGUUUGGGGUAGGCUUAGGGACUGCCAAGAAUACAAGGUCUCCCCACUUUUUCUUUAUGGAGAUAAUUAGAUGAGCAACAUUCCCAAAGUGCUCCACCAUUCACACAGUUUCAUGUCCAUCAUCUCGCUUAAUAGGUGACUGAGCUACUGCGUUUCUCAGUGGAUCCUCUGAUGAUCUUUGUGGCUGUAGAGGUGGGAAUAGCCCAGAUUUUGUCUUUUUAUUUUCUCCCAAAUAGAGGAGAAAAUAGGGAAAAUCUGGGCCCUUCCCACUUCCAGGGGCAGCCCUUGAGGGUGAAGUGGCUCUGGGUAGGUAGGGAAAGAAGGAGCUGUUUGGGGUCUCUGAGCUCUCAGCUGGACCCUGCAUUGGGGUGUAAGGAAGGAGAGAUGAGAUGAAUAGGGUGUAGGGACACACCAGUAGUCUAGCUGGGAGACUGGGAUCCCUGGAGUGCAUGCUAGGACAUCAAAACCUGAAUACAGAAAGCAGCCUGCUGCUUACUGAGUGCCUACUAUUGUCAAGAACCAAGUUAGAUGCUUUUCCUUUCAUAACCUUUUGAAAUGAGUUUCAGUAUCCCCAUUUUACCUACAGGGGAAAGUAAGGCUCAGAGAGAAGUGACUCAUCUGAGAUCACCAAGCUGAUCAGUGGUGAAAGCAGGAUUUGACUCCUGGGACAUCUGUCUCCAA